CCCGUUUCGUGAGUGUUUCUUCGUUUCUUUAAGAGCUACCAGAAAGCAGCCCACCCCCACCCCAUAAAAAAAAAAAAAAUAAGCGAGUGGGGAAGAGCCAGCCCCACGCCGGUCCGCCUCCCGCCCGCGGCCCGGCCUCCCUCCCGCUGGCCGCCUGGCUCGGCGCUCCUUCGCCCCGAGUUCUCCAUCCCCUGGAUCGCGGGCUCGCGGGGGCGCGGAGAAGAGGAUCGAGGAAAGGGCCAUCCGCACGGCAGCAUUUAGAAGCUGACUUCGCUGGCGACUGCAAGUGCCUGCGAUUUUUGCUUCCCGUCCACAUUCGGCGUCUUGCACUUAAAUUCGCUGCGCCCCGCAUGCAACAGUGCCUCGCUAAGGGGUCUCUGGGUACAAAAUUCCUCCCAAAGGAAAUGUCUCGAGCUCCUCAUAAGGCAUGGUAA
rnacentral:lncRNA from 12 species